rnacentral:rRNA from 1 species
GGCGACGAUCAGUAGCCGGUCUGAGAGGAUGAACGGCCACACUGGGACUGAGACACGGCCCAGACUCCUACGGGAGGCAGCAGUGGGGAAUCUUCCGCAAUGGACGAAAGUCUGACGGAGCAACGCCGCGUGAGUGAAGAAGGUUUUCGGAUCGUAAAACUCUGUCUUUUGGGGCGAACGUGAGUAUGGUGAACAAUCAUAGUCAGUGACGGUACCAAAGGAGGAAGCCACGGCUAACUAC